rnacentral:rRNA from 1 species
GACGAACGCUGGCGGCGUGCUUAACACAUGCAAGUCGAACGGAAAGGCCCUGCUUGCAGGGUACUCGAGUGGCGAACGGGUGAGUAACACGUGGGUGAUCUGCCCUGCACUUCGGGAUAAGCCUGGGAAACUGGGUCUAAUACCGGAUAGGAGCCAUUUUUAGUGUGAUGGUUGGAAAGUUUUUUCGGUGUAGGAUGAGCUCGCGGCCUAUCAGCUUGUUGGUGGGGUAAUGGCCUACCAAGGCGGCGACGGGUAGCCGGCCUGAGAGGGCGGACGGCCACAUUGGGACUGAGAUACGGCCCAGACUCCUACGGGAGGCAGCAGUGGGGAAUAUUGCACAAUGGGCGCAAGCCUGAUGCAGCGACGCCGCGUGGGGGAUGACGGCCUUCGGGUUGUAAACUCCUUUCGCUAGGGACGAAGCUUUUGUGACGGUACCUAGAGAAGAAGCACCGGCUAACUACGUG